CAGCAGCCGCGGGAAAACGAAGGGGGCUAGCGUUGCUCGGAAUGACUGGGCGUAAAGCGUCUGUAGGUGGCUUUUCAAGUCCGCCGUCAAAUCCCAGGGCUCAACCCUGGACAGGCGGUGGAAACUACCAAGCUGGAGUACGGUUGGGGCAGAGGGAAUUUCCGGUGGAGCGGUGAAAUGCGUUGAGAUCGGAAAGAACACCAACGGCGAAAGCACUCUACUGGGCCGACACUGACACUGAGAGACGAAAGCUAGGGGAGCAAAUGGGAUUAGAUACCCCUGUAGUCCCUGUCUCUUAUAC
rnacentral:rRNA from 1 species